rnacentral:misc_RNA from 1 species
GAAAUGCGAUAAGUAAUGUGAAUUGCAGAAUUCAGUGAAUCAUCGAAUCUUUGAACGCACCUUGCGCUCCUUGGUAUUCCGAGGAGCAUGCCUGUUUGAGUGUCAUGGAAUUCUCAACUCUAUUUGCUUUUGUGAAUAGAGCUUGGAUUUGGAGGUUUAUUGCUGGUACUUGUGAUCGGCUCCUCUUGAAUGCAUUAGCUCGAACCUUUGCGGAUCAGCUAUCGGUGUGAUAAUUGUCUACGCCGUUGCAGUGAAGCAUAUCAAUGGGCUCGGCUUCCAAUCGUCCUUUACUGGACAAUGACUUUGCCCUUUGACCUCAAAUCAGGUAGGAUUACCCGCUGAACUUAAGC